CUCACAGGAUGUGAAAGAGCCUGGAGGCUUGGCCUCUUACAGACUGCUGCUGAGAUACUCGGGUUGAGCAUUUCCCCCCUGCCGGAGAGCCAUCUGACUCCGCUAGUUCUCACACUCACUUCCACACCUGGGUUCUUAAAGUUCAUUCUGAAAUUCUGUACAAAACAGAGUUGUUGGAGGUUCAUCCGUGAGAAAGAAAACCACCGUCAAGAAUCUAGACUACCACCAUGAAGAAGACUUACCAUCCCACCGUUGCACUGGUCAGGGUCGUAUCAAACAGCAAUAAUGACGAGCCAGCCGUGAUGACCUACAGAAAUAAUUUCAACAAAAGGCCAUCAGACCAGCAGGACUUGGCAAAAACCCUGACAACAAAACAGAACUGUGUUGUCUUCAGAAACAAAAAUGAGGUGGCAACCAGGUCAGCGAGACAGCUGUAAAGCAGAACCCGAAG